rnacentral:rRNA from 1 species
AUGGGCAAGCACGCGCCGUCCAAGUCCAACCGCGAGGUGGUAGAGUCCCUGUACGCUUCCCUGGCCCGUGGUGACGCGGCGGCCGUGACGGCACUGCUGGCAACGGACCUGGACUGGUGGUUCCAUGGGCCGCGCCGGUGCCAACACAUGCGACGCAUGCUGACCGGCGAGGCGGCGGGUGCUGCAGCGUUUCGGUUCGCGCCAACACGGGUUUCGGAGGUCGGCGGCACCAUGGAUGGUCGGUGGGUUGUGGCGGAGGGGUGGACCGGCGAGCACGACUACUGGGUGCAUGUGUGGUGCCUCCGUGGCGGCGUCAUCAUCAGCUUCCGUGAGUACUUCAACACGUCUGUCACCGUCAGGAAUCUAGGCCAGACGGCUGAGGACGUGGUGUGGGCCAUAUGGGAGAGCCAAUCGUCCAGACCCAAGAGCCGCUCCAUGCCAGGCCUAGUGCUCGCCAUUUGA